CCUCUCCCUUGGUUCCCUUGAGGCUGUGGCUGGCAGGAGUGGCCUGUCCUGUCAGACUGGUCGAAAAGGAUUGAGAGGAGAUCAGCCCUGACACACCCUGCUUCUGGCGAAAGGGUUGAGAGAGGAAGUUGGGGGGGGUGAGUAUACAAGGAGGUUUCAACUGUUCUGCCUGCGGCUAUGGAACCCUGACCUGUUCACCGGGCGUGCUACCUGUCCCAGACCUGCUGAUUUCAACUCUCUAGAGACAGCAGGAGUGGUAGAGAUACUCUGAAAUGAUCGGCUAUGAAAAGCCAGCUGACAAUUACUCCUGAGGUGCUGACCUGUUGCCCCCUCGACAACCACUGUGAUUAUUAUUAUUUGACACUGCUGGUCAUCUAUGAACAUUUGAACAUCUUGGUCAUGUUCUGUUAUAAUCUCCACCCGGUACAGCCAGAAGAGAACUGCCACCCCUCAUAGCCUGGUUCCUCUCUAGAUUUCUUCCUAGGUUCUGGCCUUUCUAGGGAGUUUGUCCUAGCCACCAUGCUUCUACACCUGCAUUGCUGCUGUUUGGGGUUUUAGGCUGGGGAUCUGUACAGCACUUUGACAUAUCAGCUGAUGUAAGAAGGGCUUUAUAAAUACAUUUGAUUUGAUUUGAGAAGCAGCUCAAACCUAGAACAUGGAAGAAUGAACUAUAGCAAUUGAAUUCGACCAUGUAAAUAUAACGCCCUAACUACACCUUGCCAAUAUAUCCUCCAAAUAUGGGUUUCUCUGGCAUUAUCAAUGAAAUAAUGCAUGCUCUCGAAUGCCCUUCAAGACAAUCCGAAACAACUAUUCAACAAUGCAAUGGUAUAAACAUAAAUGUACAUUACACACACACACUCACACACACACACACACACACACACACACACACACACACACACACACACACACACACACACACACACACACACACACACACACACACACA